AUGAACGCUGGCGGCGUGCCUAAUACAUGCAAGUCGAGCGAACAGAUGAGGAGCUUGCUCCUCUGACGUUAGCGGCGGACGGGUGAGUAACACGUGGAUAACCUACCUAUAAGCCUGGGAUAACUUCGGGAAACCGGAGCUAAUACCGGAUAAUAUAUUGAACCGCAUGGUUCCAUAGUGAAAGACGGUUUUGCUGUCACUUAUAGAUGGAUCCGCGCCGCAUUAGCUAGUUGGUAAGGUAACGGCUUACCAAGGCAACGAUGUGUAGCCGACCUGAGAGGGUGAUCGGCCACACUGGAACUGAGACACGGUCCAGACUCCUACGGGAGGCAGCAGUAGGGAAUCUUCCGCAAUGGGCGAAAGCCUGACGGAGCAACGCCGCGUGAGUGAUGAAGGUCUUCGGAUCGUAAAACUCUGUUAUUAGGGAAGAACAAAUGUGUAAGUAACUAUGCACGUCUUGACGGUACCUAAUCAGAAAGCCACGGCUAACUACGUG
rnacentral:rRNA from 1 species